rnacentral:rRNA from 1 species
UACGUAGGAUCCAAGCGUUGUCCGGAUUUACUGGGUGUAAAGGGUGCGCAGGCGGACUUAUAAGUCAGAGGUGAAAUCUCACUGCUCAACAGUGAAACUGCCUUUGAUACUGUAGGUCUUGAAUUAGGGAGAGAUUCGUGGAAUUCCGAGUGUAGCAGUGAAAUGUGUAGAUAUUCGGAAGAACACCAGAGGCGAAGGCAGCGAAUUGGCUCUAUAUUGACGCUCAGGCACGAAAGCAUGGGGAUCAAACAGG